GCUAUAAAUAAAUCUUACACGGUAUUUUUCGAUGCAUCCGCUCUAGCGUGUGUUAUGGGCGCAGUCGAGCUGUUUUAUGCACGUGUUUGUCGCGCGUUGAGAACCGUGAAUACUGCGCGACUACAACUUCGAGGUUCUUGGCCCCUUGUCUAAGUCAGACUCGAAUUUUCUUGAAACUUGAAAGAGGGAUACCGUCUCUAUAAGAAUGUGCAGACUCGUAGUAUAUAUAUAUAUAUACGGUUCCAAUCUUUAGAGAUUUAUUGCGAUCAGUGGAACAAGUGUGCGUCUAGCGAAGGAAUAUUAGAAGCGAAAGGAAAGAGUUAACUAGAGCUGGUAUUCGCAGAAGGAAUGCGGAUAUAUCUAAAGAUAUAUAGAGCUUUAUUCGAUGGAUAUAUCGAGUAAAUUUCUUAUCUUAGAUGGAGAGGUGCUGAAUUAUAAAUUUUAUAGAAAUUUUGUUUACGAUGCCACUGGAUGCUGGAUUUUUAUGCAAAUUUAAUUUUGAAUGUAAAUGUAAAUCUACUAUCGAUUUUAGAUUAAGCCAUUCACCAAAAUUUAUCGAUUCAAAUCAAUUCCGGACAUUCAUCUCUUUCAUCCGCAGUCAGCAAUGACAUCCGGUCGUCCAACUAGGGGGAUGAUAAUCGAACACAGUGGAAGUGUGGCAAACAGAGAAAGGGGGAAGACUCGUCCAAACAGGGAAGAUUGAAAUUUCGUAUCGAUUAGCUUUUCAUUCCGGGGUGAAUUUUCGUCUUGGAUGGGGUCGUCGAGCUCCGACGACGCUCGAUCUUCGUUUCUAUUCAGGAGCCAGUCGUACGAGUUCUUGAAAUAUUUGCAAUUCUGUGUCAAGCUAAGAUCGGUCAGAAUAUUUGCUGCAUACCUUCUUCGUUAGUUUUAUCCGCAUAUUUAGAAUUUCAUUUCAA